rnacentral:rRNA from 1 species
GAUGAACGCUGGCGGCGUGCCUAAUACAUGCAAGUCGAGCGAAUGGAUUAAGAGCUUGCUCUUAUGAAGUUAGCGGCGGACGGGUGAGUAACACGUGGGUAACCUGCCCAUAAGACUGGGAUAACUCCGGGAAACCGGGGCUAAUACCGGAUAACAUUUUGAACCGCAUGGUUCGAAAUUGAAAGGCGGCUUCGGCUGUCACUUAUGGAUGGACCCGCGUCGCAUUAGCUAGUUGGUGAGGUAACGGCUCACCAAGGCAACGAUGCGUAGCCGACCUGAGAGGGUGAUCGGCCACACUGGGACUGAGACACGGCCCAGACUCCUACGGGAGGCAGCAGUAGAGAAUCUUCCGCAAUGGACGAAAGUCUGACGGAGCAACGCCGCGUGAGUGAUGACGGCUUUCGGGUCGUAAAACUCUGUUGUUAGGGAAGAACAAGUGCUAGUUGAAUAAGCUGACACCUUGACGGUACCUAACCAGAAAGCCACGGCUAACUACGUGCCAGCCGCCGCAGUAA